AAUGGUGGAUGUGGAGCCCCUCUGCCCUGGACAAAACCUUUCCUGAAGAACAUUUUCCAGCGAGAAAAUGCAACACAAGAGCAUGUUAAAGACCAGGGGAUAGGGAAGGAGACUGAGCAGGACUUUAUGGUGAUGUAAGGGUGAAUCUUCUCCACACACUUUCUUUCCCUGUUUUCCUUAGGGCUUAUCACGGUAGUGAUGGGAGCUGCAAUGAAUUUCCUCCCAGAUGCUUCCCAUAGCAGUGUUUGACUCGCACUGUUGUUAGUCUUGCAGCCUUUAACAGCAAGAACAAGAAUUGGUUGUAGCUCUCUAGCACCUCAGAGGAUUCCCUCUGCCAUGAGAAUGGUGUCAGGGGAGAGGUUGCAGCAUCAUCCCAAAGCACCAGGCGCCUCAGCAGGGGAUGCAGAGAAGUCCUGGGUGUGCAAGUGGCGUAAAGCAGGAUUUAAGGUGCACCCAGAUGGUCCCCUGCUUGUCUCCAGGACACCAGGAUACACAACCCAGUUGCAUAUCCAGUCUCCAGUACAGGCUCUCCACAACCACCAGCAAAGCAACCUGCUGGAGUGCUGCAGUUUUGUGCAAAUCCCAGACCAAGUCACCCAAGAACGGGCACUGCCAGGCUGCCUCAAACGGAUGCUCGGAGCAGCUCACACAUUUCUAAGGCAUGCAAGAAGCUGGGAUGUAAAGCAACUACACAGCCACCCACAGAGAGAAGCCUGCCUCUCAGCCUGCUCCGCUCCAAAUACGGGCUCCAGCGUGAGUCAAAAUGAGGGACACCAGAAAAUAAUAGACUUCACAUGAAGAAGAACAAUAAUUUGCAGCUGUAAAUCACCUUUCAUCUACAGAUCACAGAGGCGUCUCAAGCACUCAUUAAAGCCGCCUUGCAGCAUCCCUGCCCCAUAACUAGCGCGGGGCGAUGGUUAUUCCAUCCACUGGCAUGCAGCCACAUGUCCUUGCAGGCACCUGCAAGAGGGAACUGGCUUGCAAGGUUGGUCCUGUUCCACCUCUCACAGCCACACCAGAGGUGCCCAGCAUGGGCGUCACCAACCUGUGCCAAGGUGCAGGCGUGUGUCCCCGGCAUGCGGAGGGGGCUUAACGUCUGCUUGCACAGCAAGGAGGUGAAGGUGAGCCAGGGUUUUGCACCAGGGAAUGGACGACAGGAACAGAGCUCACUCAGGAUCUAAUCCACCACUGCCUUGUUGUUUUUUUUUUUUUGUGGCAAUCAAUAUUUAGCUGGAAGAAAAUUUGAGAGAGAAAGGUGAGUCCCUCCAGAAACAAGGAGCCGCAGCAGGGUUGCAAUAAAGUGUGGCAGAAAAGUUUCAAACCUAAAGUUUUCAUAAACUUAUGUGUGUCUACGUAUACAUAGAUAUAUAAUGUAUAUAUAUAUAUAUAUAUAUAUAUAAACAUAUAUAUUUAUUAAUUUUAAAAAAUAUUUAUUUAUUUAUUUACAAAAUAUUUUCAAAAGUGCUAGAGUUCUUUAACCUUACUAGUUAUCUACAUAAAGGUGGAGAGACACCCGAAGUGCUUGUUAACCAGGACGUGCAUUGGAGUACAGAAGGUUCCCAAAAACCUGUAUGUGGGGCUGUUCACAUUCUUUGGGCAGUGCGUGGAGGGCUGAACGCAGUCCCAGCCACAUUCCCCCACUUCCCUGAGCUGAUACAUCUUUCCCAGUGAAAAUGGAAUAUGUUUUUCUGUGAAGAAUGUAAGUUCUUGAGAGAGCGAUAAGAAGUGGUAUCAUCAGGAAAUCUCGCAGUCAGCUGCAGGUGUACCAGCCUUCCCUCCCCCUGGGCUUAGUAUCUACAACAAACACCCUACAGCACUCGGGUGCCUGAGGGAUGUAACAUGAGACUCUGGGCUACAAAACUUGUAUAUUUUGAGUUUUCAGGGAGGAAAAUGAAGCACAAAUCACUGGGCUCCAUGUGGGAAAUGAAACAGAAGAGCCUGUGAAAUAUGGGAGGGGGGAAUCAGACUGAGCAGUCUCUCUCUGCAUUCAAAACGUCUAUGAACAUUGUUGAAACACCAUGUGACUGUGUGAUUGUUUUGCAUUUCUGGAAAUUGCUCUGCAAGGUGCUGGGCGAUAGCGAAAGCCAGCCCCUGGCGUUGCACGGCUCCCAGCACCGCUGCACUGUCACACCAGGAGCUUUGUUGUACAAAGAAAGCACAACUGGAGUCUGCUGCUUUGUCCCUAUUAUAAGCAGGUAAAUUAAAGGUUAGAGGGACUGUAAUUUGCUUCAGGAUAUGGGGAGUAUUGGGGCAGGACUGGGACCUGCAAGCCCUAGCUGGCAGUCCCUUGCUCCGACUUCUGCAUGCCAGCUUCAUUUGCUUUGUUAAAAAUAACCUUGUUUAUAACCUCUGUUUCAUGAUUCAGCUUUUCUGCAAUCAACAACCGAUCACCAUCAGAGCAGGGUAGCAUCAGAUUUCGGGAGGAAGAUGCAAUGGGAUGGUGCAGCUCAGGGAUGCUCCUUGCAAAAGGGCAGUUCAAUUAAGGAAAUGAGGGAUACCUUGUCAAAGGACUGCUCUUUUUGGGGAGGAGUUCCCCUCUCCGAGAUUCCUGUGCCAAAUCUAAAACUGCCUGGAGCUUCUGUUGUACAAAUCCCCACCCAUCCUUCUGCCCAGCCAGAAACACCGGUGCCUCAUCAAUGUGCAUGUGGCCCUGUGCAGGCCCAAAGGUACAGGCAAGCUUGGUUUUCCUGGUUUUCCUCACCUCCUUCUUGCCUGUAGGUCAGAACAUCAGACAUGCGUUGCUCUACAGACUGCAACCUGGAGCCCUACCAGCAGCACAGCUACUGGUUUUACAUCUAAGGCAAGACUCAUUGCCAAGAAAAAUCUCCUAGAAAGUCCUGCGCGCCUGCUUUUAUUCCUCACACUGCUGGGUGAUGUGUCCCGUGAGCAGCUCAGCCCUCCCUGCUUUUAAUGACCGUGCUGCCAGGGCUUGCUCCCCACUGUAGUCUCUUGCUGGCAAAAAUCUGGCAGGGAUUUGCCUUACUACUGCUUGGAUGGUGUUGAGGUGAAUAAAAGUGUAGCUGCUGGUGCUACCGUGCUCCUCUGGGCACAGAGGUCGGAGCAGUUGCUGUGUGAGUGGGGCCGGGAGGGGAUGGCACUGGCUGCCCACGGGGUUGUCCCUGCAUCCUGGAUUUGGGAAUGGCCUGGCUCUGGGCUGAGCAAGCCAUGGCAAUUUUCACCCCAUUUGUCAGGCAAGGACACUAAAGCACAAAAAUGCUCAGGAUGGGCUUUUUCCAAAAGCAUCUGGUGAUUUUGGGCUAGCUAUGGAUUAACCUGCCAUUUUCUCUCAGGUGGGUCACCUCACCGGCUGCCUCAGAAAAAGCUGGCUCCAUCAAUUUGCCCGCAGCUGCCCAGAUAACCGGCAGCAGACAUAAACAGAAGCCAGACCCCAGAGGCACAGUCCUGUGAUGCAAACCUGAGAUCGUCCUUCCUUUUUUAGGAGCUAAUCCUUUGUCCUUGCAGCAAGAGGCAUAAAUGCGAUUUUUUUUUACACAUCACUGUGUGUUUAAUGUUUAACAGUGGGAUCAUUACGGUUUUAUUAGCAGUAUGUAAUGCUUUUUCAUCUUCAACUGACUUUGCAAACAUUAACUAAUUGAUUUCAACUAUGAAUUGGCAUGGUGGUAACUAAGAGAAGUGAUCUGCUCCUGGCCGCAGAGGAAGUCGUCGUGAGAACAGGGUGCAGAAAGCAGGGCUCCCGGUGUGCUGCUUGGACCGCCAACGCCGGCGUUUUUCUUACAGCCAUUUCCAGCGGUGCUGUUUUCAGGGAGGGCCGUUCCGCGUGCGAUAAGCAAGCCUCGUCUGUCUCUUUCAGCUCCUGGUUGAGCUGGACAAAAUGUUGUAUGUCUUGCUGAACCCCGUAAAUUGCUGAUUUUAAAAAAAAAGAAAAGAAAAAAGGAAAAAAAAAAAGAAAAAAAAAGAAAAAAAGGAAAAAAAAAAAAGAAAAAAAACGAAAAAAAAGAAAAAAAAGAAGGAAAAAAAAGGUGAUUGACUCAGUUUUCUUAUGUGAUCCAUUGGUUGCUGGUUGUUUCCAGCUCGCCCUGACCAAGUGC
ensembl:lncRNA